rnacentral:misc_RNA from 1 species
AAGACUAUAGACCUGCGGAGUACCUGCGGAGGGAUCAUUACUGAAUCAAAUGGAUUUGGUUGCUGCUGGCCUUUAGAGGCAAAUUGUGCACACCUACUCCAUUUUUUCAAACCCUCCUGUGCACUUGUAUGUAGGGACCUUGAAUGAGAACAGGUAAAGAAAAUGCAUUCAUGUGUUUUCACUGCCAAUGGGGGGUGUAACUUGCUGUGUGGCUGAAAAGAGACACAGCUUGGUUUUUUG